AUACGUAGGUGGCAAGCGUUGUCCGGAAUUAUUGGGCGUAAAGCGCGCGCAGGUGGUUCCUUAAGUCUGAUGUGAAAGCCCCCGGCUCAACCGGGGAGGGUCAUUGGAAACUGGGGAACUUGAGUGCAGAAGAGGAUAGUGGAAUUCCAAGUGUAGCGGUGAAAUGCGUAGAGAUUUGGAGGAACACCAGUGGCGAAGGCGACUGUCUGGGCUGUAACUGACACUGAGGCGCGAAAGCGUGGGGAGCAAACAGGAUUAGAUACCCUGGUAGUCCACGCCGUAAACGAUGAGUGCUAAGUGUUAGGGGGUUUCCGCCCCUUAGUGCUGCAGCUAACGCAUUAAGCACUCCGCCUGGGGAGUACGGUCGCAAGACUGAAACUCAAAUGAAUUGACGGGG
rnacentral:rRNA from 1 species